rnacentral:rRNA from 1 species
UGGGGAAUAUUGCACAAUGGGCGAAAGCCUGAUGCAGCAACGCCGCGUGAGUGAUGAAGGUCUUCGGAUUGUAAAGCUCUGUCUUUUGGGACGAUAAUGACGGUACCAAAGGAGGAAGCCACGGCUAACUACGUGCCAGCAGCCGCGGUAAUACGUAGGUGGCGAGCGUUGUCCGGAUUUACUGGGCGUAAAGGGUGCGUAGGCGGAUGUUUAAGUGAGAUGUGAAAUACCCGGGCUUAACUUGGGUGCUGCAUUUCAAACUGGAUAUCUAGAGUGCAGGAGAGGAGAAUGGAAUUCCUAGUGUAGCGGUGAAAUGUGUAGAGAUUAGGAAGAACACCAGUGGCGAAGGCGAUUCUCUGGACUGUAACUGACGCUGAGGCACGAAAGCGUGGGUAGCAAACAGGAUUAGAUACCCUGGUAGUCCACGCCGUAAAACGAUGAGUACUAGGUGUAGGAGGUAUCGACCCCUUCUGUGCCGCAGUAAACACAUUAAGUACUCCGCCUGGGAAGUACGAUCGCAAGAUUAAAACUCUAAAGUGAAUUGAC